UACAGAGGUCUCAAGCGUUGUUCGGAUUCAUUGGGCGUAAAGGGUGCGUAGGCGGCGCGGUAAGUCGGGUGUGAAAUCUCGGAGCUUAACUCCGAAACUGCAUUCGAUACUGCCGUGCUUGAGGACUGGAGAGGAGACGUGGAAUUUACGGUGUAGCGGUGAAAUGCGUAGAUAUCGUAAGGAAGACCAGUGGCGAAGGCGGGUCUCUGGACAGUUCCUGACGC
rnacentral:rRNA from 1 species